CCUGGAGUGAAUGAAAACAACCUCCUCCAACUGCCUUUCCAACAGUUCUACCAACUUGAUGCUUAUCCCUUGGCUGCUUGGUAUUAUCUUCCACAAAUCAUGCAGUAUAUUGCUUACACACCAUCCUACGACAUCAUUAAACCCAUGGCCUCUGAGAACAUUGAAAACGUUGAUGUUGUGCCAGAGUGGUGAAAAAUUAAGAAUUCUCAGGAACUCCACAAUUAUGGCUAUUGGUAAGUUU
rnacentral:lncRNA from 1 species